GUAGGUGGCAAGCGUUGUCCGGAAUUAUUGGGCGUAAAGCGCGCGCAGGCGGUUCUUUAAGUCUGAUGUGAAAGCCCACGGCUCAACCGUGGAGGGUCAUUGGAAACUGGAGAACUUGAGUACAGAAGAGGAAAGCGGAAUUCCACGUGUAGCGGUGAAAUGCGUAGAGAUGUGGAGGAACACCAGUGGCGAAGGCGGCUCUCUGGUCUGUAACUGACGCUGAGGCGCGAAAGCGUGGGGGAGCAAACAGGAUUAGAUACCCUGGUAGUCCACGCCGUAAACGAUGAGUGCUAAGUGUUAGGGGGUUUCCGCCCCUUAGUGCUGCAGCUAACGCAUUAAGCACUCCGCCUGGGAGUACGGCCGCAAGGCUG
rnacentral:rRNA from 1 species